rnacentral:rRNA from 1 species
GAUGAACGCUAGCGGCAGGCCUAACACAUGCAAGUCGAGGGGUAACAUAGGAAAGCUUGCUUUUCUGAUGACGACCGGCGCACGGGUGCGUAACGCGUAUACAACCUACCUUUUAGCGGGGAAUAGCCCAGGGAAACUUGGAUUAAUGCCCCACAGUAUAUAGACUUCUCCUGAAGUUUAUAUUAAACAUUUAUGGCUAUUAGAUGGGUAUGCGUCCUAUUAGUUAGUUGGUAAGGUAACGGCUUACCAAGGCAGCGAUAGGUAGGGGUCCUGAGAGGGAGAUCCCCACACUGGUACUGAGACACGGACCAGACUCCUACGGGAGGCAGCAGUGAGGAAUAUUGGACAAUGGGCGAGAGCCUGAUCCAGCCAUGCCGCGUGCAGGAAGACUGCCCUAUGGGUUGUAAACUGCUUUUACAGAGGAAGAACCACCCCCACGUGUGGGGGUUUGACGGUACUCCGCGAAUAAGGAUCGGCUAACUCCGUG